rnacentral:lncRNA from 1 species
GCGCUCGGCCGCAGCUGCAUCGUCGUCGGCUCCGGUGGUGAGGCCGUCUCGGUCGCCGGUGACCGGUCCUCGCCGUGUCCUGGCUCCACGGGCCGAUCCUUGGUCGCCUUCCCAUCUGCACACAGUAAAUGCAACGAUAGUGUCACAGAUGCGAUCAUCAUGUGAGGGAGAACAAGACAGAAAUGCACAUGUCAGGUUUCAGUUCAACCACAGGCUUGGCUGAGCUCUACUCCACUUUAAUGGCAGCAAAUUAACACACCAAUCCACCAUUAAACACACCACACGCUUGGCUGCAUUCCAGCAGUCAAUCUUGAUCACCUGAUCACCCAUGGCAUCCGAUGGAACAGUGUCCAUGUAUCCAAUGGCAUUGCCAUCAGAGCUCACUUCACUGGUGGGGAACAGCCUGAGCCCACAGGCUUCUCCUCUCCUCUCACUCCAAUUUGCCUUUGUUUUUCAUGAUCAAUCCAAAUUUUU